UACAGAGGGGGCAAGCGUUGUUCGGAAUUACUGGGCGUAAAGGGCGCGUAGGCGGCCUUCUAAGUCAGACGUGAAAUCCCCCGGCUUAACCUGGGAACUGCGUCUGAUACUGGGGGGCUUGAGUAUGGGAGAGGGAUGUAGAAUUCCAGGUGUAGCGGUGAAAUGCGUAGAUAUCUGGAGGAAUACCGGUGGCGAAGGCGGCAUCCUGGACCAUUACUGACGCUGAGGCGCGAAAGCUAGGGGAGCAAACGGG
rnacentral:rRNA from 1 species